AACGAACGCUGGCGGCAGGCCUAACACAUGCAAGUCGAACGAGCUGGGGUCUUCGUUGCACGGAGCUAGUGGGUCACGAGUGGGUGAGUCGUGCGUAUAUGCCCUGCCGUAUGGCAUAACCAAGGGAAACUUUGCCUAAUCUCGUACACGAUCAUAGUAGGUGAGAUUUAUCGCUUACUGAUUAGCUCCCGUCUGAUCACGUAGUUGGUGAGGUACUGUCUAUCCAAGCGUACGAUCAGUAGCUGGUCUCCGAGGAAGAUCAACCACACUGGGAGUGAGACACGGCCCAGACUCCUAGGGAAGGCAGGAGUGGGGAAUAUUGGACAAUGGGGGCAACACUGAUGUAGCCAUGUCGCGAGAGUGAAGUAUGAGUGCAGGAUGUAAAGCUCUGUCGAAGGGGACGACGAUGACGGUACCCUUAUAAGAAGACACGGCAAACUUCGUG
rnacentral:rRNA from 1 species